rnacentral:rRNA from 1 species
UAGGGAAUAUUAGUAAUGGGCGAAAGCCUGAACUAGCAACGCCGCGUGCGAAGAAGGCCUUCUGGUUGUAAAGCACUUUUUGAGAGGAUGAGGAAGGACGGUACUCUCAGAAUAAGUCUCGGCUAACUACGUGCCAGCAGCCGCGGUGACACGUAGGAGGCAAACGUUAUCCGGAUUUACUCGGCGUAAAGCGCGUGUAGGUGGUUUGGUAAGUAGGGCGUGAAAGCUCCUGGCUCAACUGGGAGAGGCCGUUCUAAACUGCCGAACUAGAGGAUGGUAGAGGGAGGUGGAAUUCCGGGUGUAGCGGUGGAAUGCGCAGAUAUCCGGAGGAACACCAGUGGCGAAAGCGGCCUCCUGGACCAUUCCUGACACUCAGACGCGAAAGCUAGGGUAGCAAACGG